rnacentral:tRNA from 1 species
GGUUUGGUGGCCGAGCGGUCUAAGGCGCUCGACUUAAGAUCGAGUCUCGAAAGAGGCGCGGGUUCGAAUCCCGCUCAAACCA